ACGGGGUGCAGCAGGCGCUAAACCUCUGCAAUGAGGGAAACCGUGACAGGGGGAUCCCAAGUGCUCAUGCAUUGCAUGGGCUGUUCUUUGGUCUAAGUAACCCCAGGAGUAAGGGCUGGUCAAGACCGGCGCCAGCCGCCGCGGUAAUACCGGCACCUCAAGUGGUAGCCGCGAUUAUUGGGCCUAAAGCGUUCUUAGCCGGAUAAGUAAGUCUUUGGUUAAAUCCUGCGACUUAACCGUGGGAAAUCUAGAGAUACUGCUUGUCUUGAGACCGGGAGAGGUUGGAGGUACUCCCAGGGUAGGGGUGAAAUCCUGUAAUCCUGGGGGGACCACCUGUGGCGAAGGCGUCCAACUGGAACGGGUCUGACGGUGAGGGACGAAACCUAGGGGAGCGAGCCGGAUUAGAUACCCGGGUAGUCCUAGGCGUAAAUGAUGCGAGUUAAGUGUGGGGGCAUCCACGAGAUGGUCCUGUGCUGUAUGGUAGCCGUUAAACUCGCCGCCUGGGGAGUACGGUCGCAAGGCUGAAACUUAAAGGAAUUGGCGGGGGAGCAC
rnacentral:rRNA from 1 species